rnacentral:rRNA from 1 species
GAGUAACGCGUAUCCAACCUUCCGUACACUCAGGGAUAGCCUUUCGAAAGAAAGAUUAAUACCCGGAUGGCAUAGUUUUCCCGCAUGGGAUGAUUAUUAAAGAAUUUCGGUUGUCGAUGGGGAUGCGUUCCAUUAGGCAGUUGGCGGGGUAACGGCCCACCAAACCUACGAUGGAUAGGGGUUCUGAGAGGAAGGUCCCCCACAUUGGAACUGAGACACGGUCCAAACUCCUACGGGAGGCAGCAGUGAGGAAUAUUGGUCAAUGGACGAGAGUCUGAACCAGCCAAGUAGCGUGAAGGAUGACUGCCCUAUGGGUUGUAAACUUCUUUUAUACGGGAAUAAAGUGAGCCACGUGUGGCUUUUUGUAUGUACCGUAUGAAUAAGGAUCGGCUAACUCCGUG